AUACUUACCUGGCAGGGGAGAUACCAUGAUCUGGAAGGUGGUUUUCCCAGGGUGAGGCUCGUCCAUUGCACUGCGGGCGUGCUGACCUCUGCGAUUUCCCCAAAUGCGGGAAACUCGACUGCAUAAUUUGUGGUAGUGGGGGACUGCGUCCGCGCUCUCCCCCG
rnacentral:snRNA from 1 species